rnacentral:rRNA from 1 species
CAAGUCGAGCGGUAGCACAGAGAGCUUGCUCUCGGGUGACGAGCGGCGGACGGGUGAGUAAUGUCUGGGAAACUGCCUGAUGGAGGGGGAUAACUACUGGAAACGGUAGCUAAUACCGCAUAACGUCGCAAGACCAAAGUGGGGGACCUUCGGGCCUCAUGCCAUCAGAUGUGCCCAGAUGGGAUUAGCUGGUAGGUGGGGUAACGGCUCACCUAGGCGACGAUCCCUAGCUGGUCUGAGAGGAUGACCAGCCACACUGGAACUGAGACACGGUCCAGACUCCUACGGGAGGCAGCAGUGGGGAAUAUUGCACAAUGGGCGCAAGCCUGAUGCAGCCAUGCCGCGUGUGUGAAGAAGGCCUUCGGGUUGUAAAGCACUUUCAGCGGGGAGGAAGGCGGUGAGGUUAAUAACCUCAUCGAUUGACGUUACCCGCAGAAGAAGCACCGGCUAACUCCGUGCCAGCAGCCGCGGUAAUACGGAGGGUGCAAGCGUUAAUCGGAAUUACUGGGCGUAAAGCGCACGCAGGCGGUCUGUCAAGUCGGAUGUGAAAUCCCCGGGCUCAACCUGGGAACUGCAUUCGAAACUGGCAGGCUAGAGUCUUGUAGAGGGGGGUAGAAUUCCAGGUGUAGCGGUGAAAUGCGUAGAGAUCUGGAGGAAUACCGGUGGCGAAGGCGGCCCCCUGGACAAAGACUGACGCUCAGGUGCGAAAGCGUGGGGAGCAAACAGGAUUAGAUACCCUGGUAGUCCACGCUGUAAACGAUGUCGAUUUGGAGGUUGUGCCCUUGAGGCGUGGCUUCCGGAGCUAACGCGUUAAAUCGACCGCCUGGGGAGUACGGCCGCAAGGUUAAAACUCAAAUGAAUUGACGGGGGCCCGCACAAGCGGUGGAGCAUGUGGUUUAAUUCGAUGCAACGCGAAGAACCUUACCUGGUCUUGACAUCCACAGAACUUUCCAGAGAUGGAUUGGUGCCUUCGGGAACUGUGAGACAGGUGCUGCAUGGCUGUCGUCAGCUCGUGUUGUGAAAUGUUGGGUUAAGUCCCGCAACGAGCGCAACCCUUAUCCUUUGUUGCCAGCGGUUAGGCCGGGAACUCAAAGGAGACUGCCAGUGAUAAACUGGAGGAAGGUGGGGAUGACGUCAAGUCAUCAUGGCCCUUACGACCAGGGCUACACACGUGCUACAAUGGCAUAUACAAAGAGAAGCGACCUCGCGAGAGCAAGCGGACCUCAUAAAGUAUGUCGUAGUCCGGAUUGGAGUCUGCAACUCGACUCCAUGAAGUCGGAAUCGCUAGUAAUCGUAGAUCAGAAUGCUACGGUGAAUACGUUCCCGGGCCUUGUACACACCGCCCGUCACACCAUGGGAGUGGGUUGCAAAAGAAGUAGGUAGCUUAACCUUCGGGAGGGC